rnacentral:lncRNA from 1 species
UUAUGUUAAGCAUACUAGCAAAUAGUGUAUUCCAUUGCAAUUCCUCCUAGGCUCCUGCUAAUGAAUGAUAUGGAUGUUUGAGUUAUGCUAAUUGAAUUUCAAAUGCAGUUUAUCUUGAGGUGCUUAAUGUUUGAGAAUGGAUGUUAAGCAAUAUUAUUUGUUUAGUUAUUUCAAGGAUAUCAUACUUUUUUGCAGGACUAUUGAGCACCCAACUUUUUCAGCACUUACAAGACCA